CCUUUUGGAGUAUGCGUGGGAGUGGGUGAGUAACGCGUGGGUAACCUGCCCUGUACACACGGAUAACAUACCGAAAGGUAUACUAAUACGGGAUAACAUACGAAAGUCGCAUGGCUUUUGUAUCAAAGCUCCGGCGGUACAGGAUGGACCCGCGUCUGAUUAGCUAGUUGGUAAGGUAAUGGCUUACCAAGGCAACGAUCAGUAGCCGACCUGAGAGGGUGAUCGGCCACACUGGAACUGAGACACGGUCCAGACUCCUACGGGAGGCAGCAGUGGGGAAUAUUGCACAAUGGGCGAAAGCCUGAUGCAGCAACGCCGCGUGAGCGAUGAAGGCCUUCGGGUCGUAAAGCUCUGUCCUCAAGGAAGAUAAUGACGGUACUUGAGGAGGAAGCCCCGGCUAACUACGUGCCAGCAGCCGCGGUAAUACGUAGGGGGCUAGCGUUAUCCGGAAUUACUGGGCGUAAAGGGUGCGUAGGUGGUUUUUUAAGUCAGAAGUGAAAGGCUACGGCUCAACCGUAGUAAGCUUUUGAAACUAGAGAACUUGAGUGCAGGAGAGGAGAGUAGAAUUCCUAGUGUAGCGGUGAAAUGCGUAGAUAUUAGGAGGAAUACCAGUAGCGAAGGCGGCUCUCUGGACUGUAACUGACACUGAGGCACGAAAGCGUGGGGAGCAAACAGGAUUAGAUACCCUGGUAGUCCACGCCGUAAACGAUGAGUACUAGGUGUCGGGGGGUUACCCCCCCUCGGUGCCGCAGCUAACGCAUUAGGCACUCCGCCACGGGAAGUACGCUCGUAAGGAGUGAAACUCAAAAC
rnacentral:rRNA from 1 species